GUUUGAGCAGCAUUUAUUGACAAUUUCAUUAGUGGGAAUGUUUCCAUUAGAAACACAGAGUUAGGAAGAUCAUAAAAUUGUUCUUGCAAUAUAAGGUAAUAAUACCACCGGCGUUUAUCUUACUGUUUUCAUGUUCUAAGUGUAUGCACCUGAGUAAAAGGAUCUGAGCGGCAGUCCAGUCUGAGAGACGCCAGCAAAGGCUGCCUAGGCCAGUUCAGUCCAGUAAAUCCCUCUUCGAUCUUCUCUUCCACACAGACAGCGGUGAUGAGCAUGCCCAUGAACCCACAUGAUUAUUUUGGGGGAAAUGAAAGGGUUGUAUUUUUGAGGUAGUAAUUCUACUUUCAGGGGCAAAUACAUUUUGAUUAUUGUAUCACCCUUCAGUGAGUUGUUUUUUUUCUUUAACCAAGGAUAUAUGUUUGAGGGAAGAAGUAAAGCAUAAAGUAUAUGAUUUUGUGUGUGUUUUUAUCUUGCUAUACCUGUAGGGAAUGUUUAAUUCUGCCUUGGAAGUAGCCAAAUUUGAAGGUGCUGUGAUUCGAACUGUCAGUGGGAUAAGGGGGCAGAUCAAGAAAGCGCUCUGAGCUCCAGAAGGAGCUUUCCGGGCCAGCUUUCAGGAUAAGCUGCUGAUGAGUGAUAUUGUCUUCAUGCAAACUUGGUAUCCUGUUUCCAUCCCAGCCUUCUAUAACCCAGUAGCAUCUUUGUUGAAACCCAGUGGGUGAGAAAGACACCUGGUCAGGAAUGUGGACCACCAGCCAACUCGGGCUUACCCAUGGCGUCAGACUAAAGGCGAACAAGGACUCUCUGUGUAAGCCAGUCCUAAGGCAAUCCUGAGGCAAAAAUUCACUGCAGAUUCCAAAAGCCUCGCAGAAGGCCCUGCCAUUUUAGAACAAGCCCAAGACCCAAGCAAAGGCAGGCAAGGUGCCGAAGAAUAGGUGGAGACCGGCCGUCAUACGCGAGCCUCAUGAAAGACAGAUCCUCGCACUGCUGGAUGCUCUGAGUACGGUGCACAGUCAGAAGAUGAAGAAGGCCAAGGAGCAGCAGCACCUGCACAAUAAGGAGCACUUCAGAGCCAAGCAGAAGGAGGAGGAGGAGAAGCUGAAGCGGCAGAAGGACCUCAGGAAGAAGCUCUUCCGAAUUCAGGGGGAGAAGGAAAGAAGCAACCAGAAGUCCAGUUUGAAGGGGGCUGAGGGCCAGUUGCAGUAAGCCUUUGGACUGGAGGGACUGUCCCUGGAUCUGCGGAGGUGGACAGUUUCAAACAUCACAGUUUGAAUGCCUGUGAAUGACAAGUCAGUGGGCAAGAGCCCAAGAGAUGUCUCUACCCAAACUGUGCCUGCAAGAGGAGGAACGGAGAAGCCUGGACUGCUGGGACUGGGUUCGUUCUCACCACCUGGGCUGUCGAGAUUUAAAGUGAUGUAAGCUGUGGUUAUGUGGAUUCUCUUACUUUCCUCUGCCUGCCUCAGUUUAAUUAUUUUGUGCUACAAAACUAUCAUUACAAUUUUUUUUUGUUAGUU